GCGGCCCCCGCCGGGCCGGUCCCGGGAGCGGGAAGCGGGAGCGGGAGCGCCGGGGAAGGGUUGGGCAUCAUGGCAGAGGGGUCUCCAGGUCUUUCCCAGCCGCGGCCUCAGCAGCAGCGGGGAAACCCGAGAUAAAUGCGGGAGCGCGGUGCUGGCGAGAUUAAAGCGAGGAACGAAUGGGAUGCCGGGCAUCCCUCGGCGAACAGCGGCGCGGCGGCUUUGGGGUGAAUCCUGGCAAACACGAGCCGUGCGGCAGCGACUGACGCGCUCCCAAAAAUCACACGUUAACCUGCUGGCUGUAACUCUGGUUAGAACUGAAAUAAUCGAUUGCCAGGAUCGAUAAAAAUCCAUAUUUUUCCCACUGACAGGGCUGCCCGAGCUGGCUCUCUCUUCACAAAGGGCGCUCCAAGCGAGGGAAGGGCCGAGUCUGGCUCAGCAGGAAUCAGGACCCUUUCCGUCCCCUCGUAACACCUCUCUCCCGUUCUCCGACUGGCUUUGUCCAGUCUGGAGGUCUGAGAGCAGAUCCCAGUGGCCGAAUGUCCAUCUCGUCUUCCCUGUGUGUGCAUGACAGGACGUACAGCACUUUCCUCGAUAACGGGUGGGCUCACACUGCAGGACCUGCCGUGGCCUCCCGUCCCCUGGUGCGAGUGACAGAGGCACCGAAGCGGUGCUUUGGGAAAUGCCGCUCCCUCCUCCAGCUCAGGAGCGAGGAGGAGCUGGACUCGGCUCUUACUGCUGCCCCCAAAGAUGCUCCCCACCUUGUCCCCGGUGCUUGUGACCAUCUUUCCCCAAAGUGCCAGUGUAAAGUAAAACCUGGAGCCGUGUCGUAUCCUUGUGUGCCACACCCACUGAAAUGCUGCUUACACACACACACAUAAAGCGUUGGCUAAAUCAGGGGGUUUGAGCUGCUGUCUCGCUGAAAAGGUCGUUACUACAGACACCGAAAUGGUAGCACUAUUCUAAUGCAUUGCGAAGACAAGCUGCUGUACCAGAAGGGCAGCAGGACUUCAGAGAGCACAAACGCUGUUCUAACACAACCUGAUGUAUUUUAUGGUAGCCAAUUAAAAUAUAUUAGGUUGAAAUAUGCAAGUGCAAACAUCCUUAUCUUUGUUUUGCUUCAGCUGUGAACAUGAAAACAUACAACCUCUAAAUGUAAUAAUCCCGGUGAUAGAUUUGAGAUUUAUAUUUCACCUUUCAUGCUGGGGCUGUUGGCGUGGAAAAGUCUUUCAAGUUCAGUUCAAUAUCAGCAGUGCUGCAACUGCUAAAUAAACACAACUUCAAUUUACUGUGCAGACACAGGAAAAACACGAUGAGAGUUGGAAUUACCAGACCCUGGUGUUACGGGGGAAAGGAACUUCGGGCAUGAAUUCAGCUGAGGGUCUCUCCUCUAGAGAGCUAUGCAGUAUUAAACACCACAUGAACACAGAAAUAAGCAAAAUAAUCUGGUUAAUAUUAGUUAAUAUUCCAGUGGAUUUUAAUUGAUUAUCUGACAGGCUAUACUCUCCUAAGAGAGGAGCCUGGGGUUUCCUAUGACCUGUGGCCUGCAGCGCAGUCAACAAAAAGACUGCCCAAGUACAUAGACUAAGCAGUUCGCCAAGUUUAGAAAUUUCUCUCUAAUAGCCACAGUAAUGAAAAGGAUAAUUAUCAGCAAUUCCUGCUAUGUGAUGGGAAAGUGCGAUGGUAGUGAAAAAUGCGCACAGACCCUGGAAAAUAACACCCACGCUGAGAACUAAACACUGGGACAAAUCUCCCUGAUCUCUGAAGGAAAAGGCAACAGAGCUGAUGGAGACUUCAUAGCUCUUUGCCUUUGAGUUAAAUACAUGAAAAGAAGUGAUGAGGUUGGGUAGAGACUACUAAUAGAAAGAAGACAACACAAGCCUCACAGUCAUUUAGUCUCUCCCAUAAAGACAAGCUGCCUGACAAGCAAGUAGGAAUUAGGACAGUCUCCCAACUCUGUGCUAUAUUCUUAUCAUUCCUAUAUGCUGAAGGCCCUUGGAUGUGGGUAUUCCUUUGUGAUAUAAUGAGACCUCUCUCUCCAGAAGACACAAUCAUUUUGGUAAAUGAACACAAUUUCUGUUACCCCCCUCUGGGGGAAUUCUACAUGACUCCAGCUCAGAUCUUCGUUUUAUCUUAUUUUUAAGUGGUUUGCAUGCCU